rnacentral:misc_RNA from 1 species
UACUCUCACACUCUCUGAUCCUUUGGAUUCAGGGAGCGGUGGACUUUGGGUGCUUGCUGCUUUCGUGGUGGCUCACCUCAAAUGCGUUAGUGCACCUCUUGGUUGGACAUAGUACGGCGUGAUAAGUAUCUUCGCCGGCACCUCGCAAGAGGGUGGCCGAUCGGGAGCUCUGUGCUUUCAAACCGUCUUCGGACAAUUUCUGACA